CCUACGGGGAGCUGCAGUGGGGAAUAUUGGACAAUGGGCGAAAGCCUGAUCCAGCCAUGCCGCGUGUGUGAAGAAGGCCUUCGGGUUGUAAAGCACUUUCAGUGGGGAAGAAAGCCUUGGGGCUAAUACCCUCGAGGAUGGACAUCACCCACAGAAGAAGCACCGGCUAACUCCGUGCCAGCAGCCGCGGUAAUACGGAGGGUGCGAGCGUUAAUCGGAAUUACUGGGCGUAAAGCGCGCGUAGGCGGUCUGAUAAGCCGGUUGUGAAAGCCCCGGGCUCAACCUGGGAACGGCAUCCGGAACUGUCAGGCUAGAGUGCAGGAGAGGAAGGUAGAAUUCCCGGUGUAGCGGUGAAAUGCGUAGAGAUCGGGAGGAAUACCAGUGGCGAAGGCGGCCUUCUGGACUGACACUGACGCUGAGGUGCGAAAGCGUGGGUAGCAAACAGGAUUAGAUACCCCAGUAGUC
rnacentral:rRNA from 1 species